GUGUAUUAAGUUCAACAUUUUUCAAUUUUCUCUCUCACACUCUCUCAGUCUGUUUUGUCCUUUUCUUGCCUCUCUUUCUCCCCCACCUUUCUUUUCCACCAGCCUCUUACAUGGGUCUGUUAGCUCCUUACUUCUCACUUCUGGAGCUCAAAGUUCCCAUCUUUAUCCUCUGAUUCUCCCCCUUCUGCAUUUUGGCUCUAAGCUUCAGUCUUGGACGAAAACCCACUUCCUGAUUAUUCCCUUUACCACAAUUUCGGAGUUUAGAUUCAUAAGGUAGUGGAAGUUCUUACUGUGUUCUAUUGAUUUCUGUUAUCAGCCAAGGAAAAACCCCUGAAAACCCCAUCUUUAGUAGCCUUUCUUUCAUUUGACUGCGAAUCUGUAGCAUAGUUCCAAAGGUCUUGGUAUUAAUAAGAUUUACUGUCAUCAUAGUAAGCUCUUGAUUCAUUUUUGUUUCUCUUGAACCUUCUUUUGCUGUUGUUGUUUGAACUUGUAGUACUAUUGAGAUCUUUGUACUAUUCCCAUUAGUAAAUGCAUGGAUGGAAGAGAAGCUAUGGCAUUAUCUAGCGGGUCAAAUCCGUAUUACCUCCAGAGAGGGCCUAGUUAUGGUGGGUCUGGUGGGUACGGGUCACAGGCUGGUCCGUUGCAUCCCCCACCACAAUUCAGGAACUCUCCAAACCCAAAUUUCCAGAUUCAGAACAAUGCCAGCAGGCCUGGAUCAUCAUACUCAAUAGACCACGCAAAUGUGGUGAGUUCUUCUUCUGGUCAUGGCCAUGGAAUUGAUAUGAGUGCUCCCCCUCCUCACCCUCCUAUGAGUGAGCUGCCUGUGAAGAAGAAGAGAGGGAGGCCUAGGAAGUAUGCCCCAGAUGGCCAGGUCUCACUUGGCUUGUCUCCUUUGCUGAUAAAGCCUAAAAAAUCUUCUUCAGAAGGAGAUCCAAUGAGCCCUUCUAAACGUAGAGGACGGCCUCCCGGCACUGGGAGGAAGCAACGGCUGGCUGAUCUAGGUGAUUCUAUGUUAGAACUCAUUAUAUGAUAUGUUGAACUGUUGAUGUGAAUGUUGUUAGGAUGCUUUGCUAGGAGUUGAUAGUGUUAGGCUGUAUCAGAAUCCAUUGGAAUUUCCAGUACUGUGGUGUUUUUACCUUUUUAUACGUUAAUGAAGACUCUCUGCAAACUGAUAUAUGGGGUUUGAAUGAUAGUUAUUGAGCAUAAUGUUACUUAUAAUGUUGGUUUCAUCUUAUGAAAAUUGACAGUAGUAUUACUUUGUUACUUAAAGUGAAUCUUAUUAAUUGUAUGCUGAAUAUGAUAGGUGAAUGGAUGAAUAAAUCUGCCGGUCUGGCUUUUGCGCCACAUGUGGUCAGGAUUCUAGCUGGGGAGGUAUGUUAUAUCAUUCCAUAAUUUUCUUUCCUCUGCUGCAUCUAUGAACUUAUAUGUUAUCAUGAGUUGAAGAAUUUUAUAUUUUAUUGAUGGUUCCUAUCACUGGUUAGCUCCUGAGAUGGAAUGGAGUGUUCCUUUUUUGAAGCGGUUUAGUGUUAUUGUCAUGUUAGUGACCCUUGUUGUUUACCCAUCCGUGUCGAUCCAUUCUUGUUCAUGUGGCAUCAAAAUUUGGUUUCAUCCAUUGUAUAUGGAGUUUUACUUAGGUAACUUAUGCUAAUGUGGAUACUGAGUAAAUGCUUUCAUAAGUUUGUGCAUAUGUUCAGUAAUAAAUUGUCUAGAGGGGUUUCUUGACUAGUAAAGUUUUUAUCUUUUGCAGGAUAUUGUUGCUAAAAUACUGUCAUUUGCACAGCAGAGGCCUAGAGCUGUCUGUAUCUUGUCUGGCACUGGUACAGCUUCCUCUGUAACCUUGCGUCAACCAGCAUCUGCAGGGCCAACUGCUACAUAUGAGGUUAGAGCAUUCACAUUCCAUAUGCACUGUCUGUUUCAAUCUCUUGAAUCCUCAGCCUCAGUUGAUUCUUGAAGUAUUUUGAUUUAAAACUAAUCUGGUAGAGUCUGACAGAGCUAACAAUGUUGAAUUUCGAAAUGGUUCUUAGCUGUUGACAAUAAGACGUGUGACUGGCAUUCAAUUGUUGUCAUGAUUUUAUUCAUCUAGGCAUAAGAGGCUCACCCUUGGGAAUUUGUCUGUUGAAAACAGAUGAUUUAGCAUUGUGAUCAUCUAUGUUUUUACCUACAGUUACUUCUUUUAAUAAUUUUCCGGGACAACUCCAGUUUGAAGUCUAGUUGUGUGAUAGAUGUCUUUAUUGCAAAUGAGAAACUACAAAACAUGUUGGUCCGACUUUUUGGUUAGGUGAUUUCUUCAAGUGAUGCUGCAAGGUUAAUCUUAUCUAGUUUUCACGUCUUUGUUCCGAAUGAAAGAUCAAUGUGAUAUCAGUAAAGGAAAAAAUCAAAAUCAGAGUUUGAUUCUGUUUUCGUUUUCCUUGUUUGCACUCAUUACUCUCUUGAAUCUAUGGACUAACUUGGUAUAUAACUGGUGCAGGGCCGAUUCCAGAUACUGUGUUUGUCAGGUUCCUACUUGGUAGCCGAAGAUGGAGGUCCCCUUGACCGAACAGGUGGAAUGAGCGCUUCUCUUUCGACUCCUGAUGGUCAUAUCAUCGGUGGCGCAAUCGGUAUGCUUACUGCUGCAAGCCUAGUACAGGUAAUGUUACCAUUUCCAAAUUGUUGAAGAUAACUUGUAUAUCCCAUUCCUUAUUCUGUGAUCAUAACCAUUAACCAAGAACCUCACCCUCUUCUUAACUGAAAACUGCGGGUUCCAUCCAGGUGGUGAUAUGUAGUUUUGUAUAUGGUAGUACCAAGAAGCCAGAAAGACCAGUUGGACGACCCAAGAGCGAUAAAAGCCAACGCAGCAACGAGAAAUUAGCCAUUGCCGCCCCUGAUACCACUCCUCCAAGUACUGCAACGCACGAGCAUCAUUACACGCCUUCUCCGAUGGGGGUCUGGCCAGGCUCCCGGUCUGCCGAUCUGAGAAACAACCCCCACACGGGAAUUGACUUAACAAGAGGCUGACUGAUGAUGAUUUAUGACUGCUGCAGCAACAACAGCGACAUGGCAAUUUUUUGUACAGAAUGUGUUGUUGUACCUGUAGUUUAAAAAGGAAUCUCUUCCUUUCAGGUUAUGACCUCCCGGUUGUUCUAACCUAGUCUGUAACAAAAUGCCACCAUUUUUAUGUGCUCAUUAACAAUUUAGAUGUUAAUUUUUUUUAAAUUCUCCUCCAGUUUAGUGUUUACGGGUAUUAUUUGGAUCAGUCUCUGGUAGUUGCAAAGUCUGGUUUCUCUUACAUUUGUUUCCUUUAUAUAUCAUCUUAAAGCCAUAGCAUGUCUCAGACAGAACACAUAGGGAGAAAAAGAACAGAUCUGAUUGCAACUUGUUGGAGAUGCAGAACAAGUUAUAACCCCAAACUGGUCCUGGGAUUAUUAUAACAAUUAGGAACACUACAAUCCCUAUCCACUAACAAUUGUAAUACAAUGACUUUGGUCUAUAUAUAUAGCAUAGUGAUUUUCGUCUGCUUACCUCGAAGCUGGAGGGGAGGUACUGCCUUGAAGCGAGUACAAGCAAACUCCAUGAUUUGCUCGUUGCUGCCAGGCUCCUGAGAUCCAAACUGAUUGCAAGGGAAAGCCAAGAUCUGUAGACCUGCUCCAGCCAACAAGUGAAGAACUCUUGAGUUAUUAGUCAUCACAAACAUAGACCAUUGAGCUUAGACUGACAUCAAUAGAUUAUAGAGAGUUAUGGAUGCAUCCAAUUCAGAGUACCAUUUGCCAAAACAUUUGUGCACACAAGCCAAGGAUUGAAUGUACCCUUAUGUCACUAAUAAUGAAAAGGAUAAAUCACAAUCAAACAAACAGAAGGGAGGGCAAAGAGGAAAACCUUGAUCCUUAUAUUUCUUGUACAGCUCAGUCAGCUGAGUGUAGUUCGAAUUGGUCAAGCCACUGUAACAAAAUUUUAAAGACCAACCAAACAGUAAAACUUCAUGUUCCAUACAGCUUUCAAUCAACACAACUAACCCCUCAGUGAAGAAAUUACCAUUGGGAGGCGACAUUAACGAUCAAAAGGACCACCACACUUCCAAUAAGUAGAAAUUUUCAUCUUUUUUCUCAAAGAAAGAGGGAAAAGGUUUGAUUUUGUGAGGUUGGGAUGAAAGGGUUUUGGGUUGGAGAGUCUUGUGUGGGGCACAUUGGCAUUAGUCACAAAGUUGGGUGAUCUGAAAAAGGGACAUGUUUUAGUGACAAUGGUUUUGGUACUUGUCUCUAGGCCACCCACCAUUGCCCUAAAAAAGUUGUGUUCAAAUCCUAAGCCUUUGUGAAUAUUGUAGAUACAACUUCCAUAACUUUGUAUGAUGCUAAGUCUUAGCAUUAGUAGUGAAUUUUUCGGUUCAGAGCCUUUAUAUUAAGACAACCAUUUAUCUAUUAUAAUGAGAAAAAAUUCAUAAUAUGUCAUCUCACUAGUAAAAACACCUAGCUAUAAUUGUUUGCAAUUGGGAGGUUUUCGUAACAUAGUUUUUGAAAAAAUAAUCAUAUGACAAAUUAUAAUAAAUAAAGGUCCCAAUUUAAAACUAAAGAUGCAUAAAAAUUCGCUUAAAAUAUAAAGGUUUUCACCGAUGGAUGCUUUACAAUGUCAAGAAGAGUCUACACUAGUGGAUGCUCAAUAAAAGUUUUUUUUUAUAAAUUAUCAAAAUUAUAAAACAAGUUAUCAAACCUAAACUACGCAUAACGAAAAUGAAUAUUGAAAACCAAGCAAAACUCCUAUUAUUAUUGGCAUUCGACAUUCAUACUCUUUCAUUCCAUGCCUCUCUAGUCAAAAUAAGACAUCUCUUUCCCCAGCUUGCCACCACCACCACUACCACCCUCCACUCUCCUAGUAAGUCUCCUCACAGCUACAUUUCAACAAACCUAAAGGCCAACGGCAAAGCAAAGCCCUUUAAUAAGAGAGAGAAGAAAAACAAUUUACCAAACAUCUCCUUUUCUUCAAAAUUCAAAAAGCUCGGAAUAGAGAGAGUAGAUUAGAUUCAACAUUUUUCAAUUUCCUCUCUUUUCUCUCUCACUCUCUCAGUCUGUUUUGUCCUUUACUUGCCUCUCAGCCUCCCUGCUCUCCCCCACCUGCAGUUUACCUUCUUCUUCCUUCAAAACCCUAGAUUUCCUGCUUACAAAUCUAGGGUUUUGUUAACAGUACAUACAUGGGUCUGUUAGCUCCUUGCUUCUCACUUCUGGAGCUCAAAGUUCUCAUCUUUAUCCUCUGAUUCUCCCCCCUCUGCAUUUUGCCUCUCCAAGCUUCAGUCUUGGACGAAACCCCACUUCCUGAUUAUUCCCUUCCCCGCAAUUUCGGAGUUUAGAUUCAUAAGGUAGUAGAAGUUCAUACUGGGUUCUAUUGAUUUCUGUUAUCAGCCAAGGAAAAACCCCUGAAAAACCUCAUCUUUAGCUGCCUGUCUUUCAUUUGACUGCGAAUCUGUAACAUAGUUCCAAAGGUCUUGGUAUAUAAUAAGCUUUACUGUCAUCAUAGUAAGCUCUUGAUUCAUUUUUUGUUUCUCUUGAACCUUAUUUUGCUGUUGUUGUUUGAACUUGUAGUACUAUCGAGAUCUUUGUACUAUUCCCAUUAGUAAAUGCAUGGAUGGAAGAGAAGCUAUGGCAUUAUCUAGCGGGUCAAAUCCGUAUUACCUCCAGAGAGGGCCUAGUUAUGGUGGGUCUGGUGGGUACGGG
rnacentral:lncRNA from 1 species